UACGUAGGGUGCGAGCGUUGUCCGGAAUUAUUGGGCGUAAAGAGCUCGUAGGCGGUUUGUCGCGUCUGCUGUGAAAACUGGAGGCUCAACCUCCAGCCUGCAGUGGGUACGGGCAGACUAGAGUGCGGUAGGGGAGAUUGGAAUUCCUGGUGUAGCGGUGGAAUGCGCAGAUAUCAGGAGGAACACCGAUGGCGAAAGGCCAGGCAGCUCGGACCG
rnacentral:rRNA from 1 species